GAUGAACGCUGGCGGCGUGCCUAAUACAUGCAAGUCGAGCGAACGGACGAGAAGCUUGCUUCUCUGAUGUUAGCGGCGGACGGGUGAGUAACACGUGGAUAACCUACCUAUAAGACUGGGAUAACUUCGGGAAACCGUAGCUAAUACCGGAUAAUAUUUUGAACCGCAUGGUUCAAAAGUGAAAGACGGUCUUGCUGUCACUUAUAGAUGGAUCCGCGCUGCAUUAGCUAGUUGGUAAGGUAACGGCUUACCAAGGCAACGAUGCAUAGCCGACCUGAGAGGGUGAUCGGCCACACUGGAACUGAGACACGGUCCAGACUCCUACGGGAGGCAGCAGUAGGGAAUCUUCCGCAAUGGGCGAAAGCCUGACGGAGCAACGCCGCGUGAGUGAUGAAGGUCUUCGGAUCGUAAAACUCUGUUAUUAGGGAAGAACAUAUGUGUAAGUAACUGUGCACAUCUUGACGGUACCUAAUCAGAAAGCCACGACUAACUACGUGCCAGCAGCCGCGGUAAUACGUAGGUGGCAAGCGUUAUCCGGAAUUAUUGGGCGUAAAGCGCGCGUAGGCGGUUUUUUAAGUCUGAUGUGAAAGCCCACGGCUCAACCGUGGAGGGUCAUUGGAAACUGGAAAACUUGAGUGCAGAAGAGGAAAGUGGAAUUCCAUGUGUAGCGGUGAAAUGCGCAGAGAUAUGGAGGAACACCAGUGGCGAAGGCGACUUUCUGGUCUGUAACUGACGCUGAUGUGCGAAAGCGUGGGGAUCAAACAGGAUUAGAUACCCUGGUAGUCCACGCCGUAAACGAUGAGUGCUAAGUGUUAGGGGGUUUCCGCCCCUUAGUGCUGCAGCUAACGCAUUAAGCACUCCGCCUGGGGAGUACGACCGCAAGGUUGAAACUCAAAGGAAUUGACGGGGACCCGCACAAGCGGUGGAGCAUGUGGUUUAAUUCGAAGCAACGCGAAGAACCUUACCAAAUCUUGACAUCCUUUGACAACUCUAGAGAUAGAGCUUUCCCCUUCGGGGGACAAAGUGACAGGUGGUGCAUGGUUGUCGUCAGCUCGUGUCGUGAGAUGUUGGGUUAAGUCCCGCAACGAGCGCAACCCUUAAGCUUAGUUGCCAUCAUUAAGUUGGGCACUCUAAGUUGACUGCCGGUGACAAACCGGAGGAAGGUGGGGAUGACGUCAAAUCAUCAUGCCCCUUAUGAUUUGGGCUACACACGUGCUACAAUGGACAAUACAAAGGGCAGCGAAACCGCGAGGUCAAGCAAAUCCCAUAAAGUUGUUCUCAGUUCGGAUUGUAGUCUGCAACUCGACUACAUGAAGCUGGAAUCGCUAGUAAUCGUAGAUCAGCAUGCUACGGUGAAUACGUUCCCGGGUCU
rnacentral:rRNA from 1 species